UACGGGGGGGGGCAAGCGUUUGUUCGGAAUUACUGGGCGUAAAGGGCGCGUAGGCGGCCUUCUAAGUCGAACGUGAAAUCCCCGGGCUCAACCCGGGAACUGCGUCCGAUACUGGAAGGCUUGAAUCCGGGAGAGGGAUGCGGAAUUCCAGGUGUAGCGGUGAAAUGCGUAGAUAUCUGGAGGAACACCGGUGGCGAAGGCGGCAUCCUGGACCGGUAUUGACGCUGAGGCGCGAAAGCCAGGGGAGCAAAGCGGG
rnacentral:rRNA from 1 species